GGGCGCCUGGGAAAUAUCCUGUGCGCGUCUCUAUUAUGAUCGAGUGUAAAUGAGGGCCGCCGGCAGGCUGGAAACUAGCUACUGCGGUAGCAGUUGCUCUCUGAAGCCGCAAGGUAGGGGCGAUCGGCUGCCGCUGCCAGGAGAGCGGACGAUGCGGAGCUGCCCUGCAGCAUACGGAGUUCCAGGGCCAAGAGAUCAGAUUGGAGCCGCAGUUGCAACAGCAGAUCCUUAACCCACUGUGCCAGCCCGAGGAUCAAACCUGUGUUCCAGCACCCCAGAGACUCCACCAAGCACAACAACAGGAACAUCGUCCCUAAACAACUUUAAAUCAGCAGCCAUAUUUUUAUGAGUCUAGCCAGGAAUCCAGGUACUAAAUGCACAAAGCUGGAAACCAGAAAUUCAAGCUGUGAUUUCUUCCUCUUUGUUCUGCUGAUCUUGGAGCACUACCCUACUCAAGGCUACUUGGGAGCCAUUUGGUGCUCUAGCCGCUCUGUCUUUCCAGGUCAGAAGAGAGAAACAAUAUUGAGAAUGUUUCCAGUUCUUCAGAUAUUGGACUUCUGGGAGUUCCUGUCGUGGCUCAGCAGAAACAAAUCUGAGUAGCAUCCAUGAGGACGCAGAUCCCUGAGCAAUCAUCUAAGAAGUCUGAUCACCUGAAUAGACCACAUGGAGAGACUGUGGGAGCACAUGAAGAGAGGUGGGCAGGGGGAACCCAGCUGCAUCCAACAAUCCAGAAAUCCCUAUCAAGAUGCUAGACAUGAAGGAAACCAUCUUGGAUCCACCAGAUCAACCUAGCCACCAGCUGGAUACCACUGAGAGAUGCCAGUGGAGCAGAAUUGUCCAAUAAGCCUUGCCCAAAUUUCUCACCCACACAAUCAUGAGUAUAAUAAAAUGAUUAUUGUUU
ensembl:lncRNA uncharacterized LOC100739062